UUCAGACCAAGGCCUGUCGACUUCCUUAGAAAGAUAUGACGCUUCAUAAUUGCGCAUGUGUGGUCUGACGCUCUGGAAAUAGAUACCAGUUAUUAAUAUAAAAAUAUUUUGCUACAGCAACAUUGCUCCUAUCUGACUUUGUCUAUUCAACUUUGGGACAAAUAAAAUCAUUUUUAUCAAAUAUUUUGAUUUAUGUCACACUACCAUAUGUAAAUUAUUAUUAUUUUAUAUAAAUUAUUACCUAUUUCAGUUUGUCUUUGUCUAUGUUCAUAAAAUCUAUGGAGGUCAGAGGCACAUAUACCCUCCAUAAAGCCUUGCACUUGGGUCUGGCCGGUUAGAACAUAGACAAAAGUCUGCAAUGUCAAUGCUGUCAAAGUCAUUGACGCAAAACUAUUUUCAUUUUCAAAACUAUCAAUUUUCAUAUAAAAUGAUUAAAUAACGAUUUAUGUUGUUGAAAUAGAUUUAUUGAUUAAUUUUUAAAAUUAAAAAUCCACCGCACAGUAUCUCCGCUCAGACUCGGUUAAAGUUUAAUCCAUUGUACUAAACUAAGAAACAACAAUUAUUUCAAGAGGGUGAACGUGAGCAAAAAAUCCUUGGGCGUCAUAUCAUUUCCUUGGAAAGGCUCAAAAUCAAAAGGCACGGAUCCGCCACAUAAUUGUGACUAGUUGUAGUUUCCCGGUGACCAUCAACAAGACCGCUGCACUGAGCUGUGGAGCAGAAAGCGUCCGACAAUCGGAUAGAUGUAAUAACAGGGUCUCUAUUGUUUCCCAUAAAGUUUUAAGUCAUAAUGUAUUGUUUGUCCGCAUUUUCGUUAGUCAUAAUUUGGUUUUUCUCAGAAACGCGUAACUUUUCAGGAUUGCCAUAAAACAAACCUAACCUAACCUAACCUAUCUAUAGGAUAAUCUAAGGAAAUUCCUGAAAAGUUAACGGUUUCAGAGUUAUGACUAAUGAUAAUAUGACUAUCAUUACAUUAUGACUUUCAAUAAUUAUGUCAAACAAAGGGAUUCGGUAAUAACAACUUUGUCUGUCAUAUAUUCAUGUAAUUUUUAGUUUUUUGGGCUGAUAUAUGUGAUAUGAUUACAAGUUACACUAAUUGCAAUUGUGGAGUAAAAUCAGAUGUGCCAAAGAUCAUGUUUUAGAUAUAUAAAAAUCUAUAUUAAAUGCAAUAAAUAGUAUAUGUAUAUAUAUAAAA